GAUGAACGCUGGCGGCGUGCCUAAUACAUGCAAGUCGAGCGAACGGACGAGAAGCUUGCUUCGCUGAUGUUAGCGGCGGACGGGUGAGUAACACGUGGAUAACCUACCUAUAAGACUGGGAUAACUUCGGGAAACCGGAUCUAAUACCGUAGGAUAUUUUGAACCGCGGGGGUCAAAAGUAAAAGACGGUCUUGCUGUCACUUAUAGAUGGAUCCGCGCUGCAUUAGCUAGUUGUUAAGUUAACGGCUUACCAAGGCAACGAUGCAUAGCCGACCUCAGAGGGUGAUCGGCCACCCUGGAACUGAGACACGGUCCAGACUCCUAAGGGAGGACGCAGUCGGGAAUCUUACGCAAUGGGGGAAAGACUGACGGAGCAACGCCGAGUGAGUGAUGAAGGUCUUCGGAUCGUAAAACUCUGUUAUUAGGGAAGAACAUAUGUGUAAGUAACUGUGCAGAUCUUGACGGUACCUAAUCAGAAAGCCACGGCUAACUACGUG
rnacentral:rRNA from 1 species